rnacentral:rRNA from 1 species
UACGAAGGGGGCUAGCGUUGCUCGGAAUCACUGGGCGUAAAGCGCACGUAGGCGGAUCUUUAAGUCAGGGGUGAAAUCCUGGAGCUCAACUCCAGAACUGCCUUUGAUACUGGGGAUCUCGAGUCCGGAAGAGGUGAGUGGAACUCCGAGUGUAGAGGUGAAAUUCGUAGAUAUCGAGAGGAACACCUGCGGCGAAGGCGGGUUGCUGGGCUGACACUGACGCUGAUGCGCGAAAGCUAGGGGAGCGAACGGG